CUUUCUUUUUGCAAAAACUGGUACCACAGUCUUGGCUUCAUUAUGUGUUGAGCAAUACGUACUGUGAUGUCUGAUGUUGGUUGUCAACUUGACUGGAUUGAGAAGCACUUGGGCAAUUGGUGAAAAACACACUUCCGGGUUUGUCCAUUAAGGAGCACCUAGAGACAAAGGGUAGGAUGAUUGGCAAACUGAGUGAGGAAGAGUACCCUAAGUGUGGGCACCGUACAGGCCAUGGGCCUAUAAGUUGGGGGCCAACAUGGAACAAAAGCUAGAAGGAAACCCACGCACCAGCCAUGUCCAGGUCUUUUUGAGUGGGUACACUGCAUUUUGCUCUGUCAAAGACCUGGAGAUCACACUCCAACUUCUUCAGCCUUUACAGGAGGACUCACCCCAGCCACUCUCCAGGAGACUUCCAGGCUUCCAGCCUUGGAAUGGGUUCCAAUAUUCAGGCUGGAAUUGCUGACAAAAGAGAUCUUGUUCCAGGAAAGUUGGCAAUGGUAUUUAACAAUAUUUAACAAUCAGACAAUGGACUGUUGACAUUUAAGCCAAAUGGUAAAACGUUGAAAGACCCCAUGGUAGAGUUUAAUAAGUCACUUGGCCCUGGCGGUCAAGCCUGGGACACUGUGUAAACUCAGGCUUCGUGUUAACACUCACUUUUUUUUUUCUCAAAACUGUUUUACAAUUUGCUUACUUAAGAGUUAUUUCCUUGUUAAGGGUGCCCUGGUGUGAACACGCUUGGUUUUGUUAAGCUUGGG
rnacentral:lncRNA from 1 species